GGCGAGAUGGCCGAGCGGUCUAAGGCGCUGUGUUAAGGUGAUCCACUCCUCUUCUUGUCGAGUUGUCAUCCGCAGUCUUCGGACGUGGGUUCGAAUCCCACUCUCGUCA
rnacentral:tRNA from 1 species